rnacentral:rRNA from 1 species
AUGCCUUGUCUCGUACGGGCUUUGCCUGCCAUCUCUUACCCAUGUCUUUUGAGUACCUUACGUUUCCUCGGCGGGUCCGCCCGCCGACUGGACAAUUUAAACCACUUGCAGUUGCAAUCAGCGUCUGAAAAAACUUAAUAGUUACAACUUUCAACAACGGAUCUCUUGGUUCUGGCAUCGAUGAAGAACGCAGCGAAAUGCGAUAAGUAGUGUGAAUUGCAGAAUUCAGUGAAUCAUCGAAUCUUUGAACGCACAUUGCGCCCCUUGGUAUUCCAUGGGGCAUGCCUGUUCGAGCGUCAUUUGUACCUUCAAGCCUUGCUUGGUGUUGGGUGUUUGUCUCGCCUCUGCGCGUAGACUCGCCUCAAAACAAUUGGCAGCCGGCGUAUUGAUUUCGGAGCGCAGUACAUCUCGCGCUUUGCACUCAGAACGACGACGUCCAAAAGUACAUUUUUACACUCUUGACCUCGGAUCAGGUAGGGAUACCCGCUGAACUUAAGCAUAUCAAAGGGGGAAGGA